UACGUAGGUGGCGAGCGUUGUCCGGAAUUACUGGGUGUAAAGGGUGUGUAGGCGGGGAUACAAGUCAGAUGUGAAAUACCGUGGCUUAACCACGGGGCUGCAUCUGAAACUGUAUUUCUUGAGUGUCGGAGAGGAAAGUGGAAUUCCCAGUGUAGCGGUGAAAUGCGUAGAUAUUGGGAGGAACACCAGUGGCGAAGGCGACUUUCUGGACGAUAACUGACGCUGAGGCGCGAAAGCGUGGGGAGCAAACAGG
rnacentral:rRNA from 1 species